rnacentral:tmRNA from 1 species
GGGGGUGAAAGGUCUCGACACUUGACAAUUGAAGGAACAGGCAAGCCGAGGUUGGUCCAGGGCCUCGUAAAAAAUGGACCACGGCAUAACUGCCACAAAUAAUUACGCACUCGCCGCCUAAUUAGGCGACACGGCAACCGGUGAGAGUGGCGCUGGUAACUGGAAGCCGACGCACAAGUGCCCCCAAGUCAUCUGCCGCCCGGGCGGGUGGCCCAUGGUACAAUCCGGGCAACCCUUGGCCAAAGGGCAAGCCAUAGGCUAAAGGGUAAAAGGCUUGCAAAGCUUGUAACUCCUGUCUUUCGAAAGGCAAGCUGGACACGGGUUCGAAUCCCGUCACCUCCACCA